rnacentral:lncRNA from 1 species
UCUAAAUUUGUGUUGUUGAAGAGUGUAAACACUAAUACACUCAACAAUAAGUGUAAGCUACUAGAUUGGACUGGAAAAGGAGAAGAGGUAGCAGAAGGACGUUGGUCUUCAAAUGAUCCAAAAAUAUUGGUUCAUCACGUUCCUCUAGGACCUAAUGCUACGAGAGUUUGGGUUGAUGUAGCUAUGAAACCUGAUGCAUUCUUGUGGAGGCCUACUUUUGAUAUAACUUAUAUUGAAGAAUGUGUUGGUACCAUAGUUGCAUGGCCAAUUGACAAAGUUGUCAUCGAGUAAAUAGCACUGACAAAGGUUAAAUUUUAUACGCUGACAUCUUCGAUCACUGAUUUUAUGUUUUUAGUUUACGUUAUUUUACAAUCUAAUAAGUUUUAUCAUUUUGUUAAUUUUCAGAUUUAAAUGCUUUAUUGGAUUGACGGAUGUCUUCUCCUAACUUGUUGCAAGAGUUCAAGGAGUUUCAUUAUGAGGAAAUAGAAUAAGAUGAUUUUAUUUUAAUUUUGUUUAUUGUCUUUUCGAGCAUAUAUUGCCACUAGUAUUUGAUAUAAAGGCGAAACAUAAUUAGAUUUUAUACACUAUAGUCAAGAAAUGCUAUUAAAAAUAUUACAUUAUAUUCAAAUAUACUAUAAAUAUUAAAAAUUACGAUAAAAAAAAUGUCAUAAAAGAUGUAACAUGACGGUAAAAAAAUGCUAUUGAAGCUAAAAUUAUGAUAGAAAAAGUGCUAUUGAAUUUAAAAUGAUUGCAUGGAAAGAAUGCUAUAAAUACUAAAAUCAUGACGAUAAUAAAAUGUUAUGUAAAAUUUUUCUAUAACACUUUAUAAUAGCAUUUAU